UAGGAACGCGGGGCUUCUUGGUGGGGCCGGAGCCGAGACCCAGCCGGAGCAAGCAACAGCCUACAUCUGACCUCAGAAUACCAGCAGCUGCGGCCUUUAUUGUGCUUUUGGUUUAAUUUGGGGAAACCCGUUUUUUCUCAACUCUGAGCCCCAGGGGAGGCUCCUCUGAGGCUGGGGAGGCCGGGAGGAGGACGGGUAUGAUUUAACCAGUCAAUACUCAAAGAUACAGGAGAGAGGGAACAAAAGACGCUUUAUGGUGGUUGAGAUCUUCCCAUGUCAACACACAAAGGUUUUCCUCAUCCUUUUUAAUGGCUGCAUGAUGUUCUGUUGCUUGGAUGAAGCAGGGUUUCCUUAUAUGGUCACUUCCUUGGGAACAUUUGCAUUGUUUCCUGUUUUCUGGUUGGUGAAAACCCUGUGUCCUUGGAGAAAGCUGGUUCCCGUUUUCCAGAGGGGGAGCCCAGAGCUUGAAAGGCCGCGGUUGGCACUUCGAGAAGGAAGUGGAGAGUAAAGACAGCGCCUGGAGUGAUCGUAGAAACACAGAAUGGGACUGGGGAAGCCCUUUGGAAAUCCAGCUGCAGAAACAGACACCCCAAUGCUAUUUACAUACAGCUCUAUAUAUAUAACAAAAAUAUGAAUAUUACGUAUCAGUGCAUGCCUUGUCGAGGACGUGGUUGCCUUCCUUUUCUGCACCUUGCGAUGUGAACUUUGAUAUUCUGUAAUGUCUGGGGCGCCAGAAGAGAGAUGCCUGCUGUGUACUUAGAAACUGUUUGCAAAGACUGGUGGGAAUUAGCCCUAGCAUCGGCCAACUGCCUGGGGAUAGAUGCUGGUGGAAUAAGAGGUAACAGUGCAAAAGGCAUGAUAGGGAAAAAAAAAAAAAGGUGAGGACUUGGGGCCAAUUGUGUAGGGGCAGUCUGGGGUGCCUCCAUUUCUUGACUUGUCCUAGCCUCUCCCUCUGUAUUUACCUAGGUCGAUCGCUAGAUCCCACUGUCACGUCGAGAGAAACGGGAUUUUUGUGUCUCUGGUGCUUCACUUAAAAUUUUGCUGGUGCUAAGUGCGUUCCUGCUGGUGCUGCUGUGGUAUUCUUUUGACAGACUUGUUGGAAGGCCAGGGGACAAGAGAGAUUUCUAUUUUGCUGUUUCAGAUUCUUUUUUUUUUUUUUUUUUUUAAGGGACAAGUUGCAAAAGUGCCACUUGAGAGUCUCUUCUCUUUCUCUACGUGGGGACAAAUAUCCAGAGGUGGUUUGGAGCAAACCUUGGGGUCUAGGAUGGAGGAUGGCAUUGAGAGGCUUGCUGGUUAUGAGGCAGAAAGCUGACCUCAUGCAUGACUUGGUUGCUAUCUCCUCCACCCCCACAAAAGUGUCCUCGGAGUUCAGCCCACAGCCUCCUCCACUCCCCAAGGGGAUUUCAGGGUUUAGGUUUUAUGGAUUAAAGAGCCAAGAAAUGGCUACAUUCUGGUC